GUCCCAGACUCCUACGGGAGGCAGCAGUGAGGAAUAUUGGUCAAUGGGAGGAAUCCUGAACCAGCCAUGCCGCGUGCAGGACGACGGCUCUACGAGUUGUAAACUGCUUUUGUACCGGGGUAAAAUGCCUUACGAGUAGGGUUUUGAAAGUACGGUACGAAUAAGGAUCGGCUAACUCCGUGCCAGCAGCCGCGGUAAUACGGAGGAUGCGAGCGUUAUCCGGAUUUAUUGGGUUUAAAGGGUGCGCAGGCGGCCCGGCAAGCCGGCGGUCAAAUCGCGGGGCCCAACCUCGCGCCGCCGUUGAAACUGGCGUUCUUGAGUGGGCGAGAAGUAUGCGGAAUGCGUGGUGUAGCGGUGAAAUGCAUAGAUAUCACGCAGAACUCCGAUUGCGAAGGCAGCAUACCGGCGCCCAACUGACGCUGAAGCACGAAAGCGUGGGUAUCGAACAGGAUUAGAUACCCGGGUA
rnacentral:rRNA from 1 species